CUUCGGCGUCACCUAAAGGGUUGGUCUAACCAGACUAUAAAUGAGCAAUCAUUUACCAGCUUUACAUUCUUCAUGAUCCUUCCAACCGACUUCUUCAAGAAAAGCAGCUUUUAUUACAAUUACAAAACAGGUCCUGGGGCAGGAGUUGAUCUGACAGACAGGUCUAUUGUUCUGAGAGUAACUGUAGGCCGGCAUACAGAUCUCUGCAUCAUACAGAAAGUACUGUGUAGUGUCUGGUUGACUCCUGCUCCAGGAACUACUCAAAAAAAAACAAAGCAUGAGCUCUUCACCUAAAGACUCUCGCGUUAUUCUACCAAGCGCUGAACACAUUUAUUUGUAAGUACAUUUAAGCUGAUGUGCAUCUUCACUGCUGUAGAUGCUGCUUGCUCAAAUUAUGUUUUAAAGCAGUGAUUCUUAACAUUUUUUAUGAGGGGAAAAUUAAUGCAGCGCAUGUGUAAUAAUUCUGUUCGUUAUGUAUAGUUUUACUGGAUCAGGAAGAGUAAUAUGAAAUAUAGACUGCAUUUUUUUUUACAGCUGUAUACUUUAAAAAAUAUUGUAUGAUUGUUGUAUUUAUCAAGGUG
rnacentral:lncRNA from 1 species